AACGUAGGACGCAAGCGUUAUCCGGAAUUACUGGGCGUAAAGCGUGCGCAGGCGGUUCGGCAAGUCCGAUGUGAAAGCCCCGGGCUCAACCUGGGAAUGGCAUUGGAAACUGGCGAGCUUGAGUGUGGCAGAGGGGGGUGGAAUUCCGCGUGUAGCAGUGAAAUGCGUAGAGAUGCGGAGGAACACCGAUGGCGAAGGCAGCCCCCUGGGCUGACACUGACGCUCAGGCACGAAAGCGUGGGGAGCAAACAGG
rnacentral:rRNA from 1 species